CCGAUCGGGGAGGAUGAACUCAUCUCCUUCAUCGUCGCCGGGCUUGAUAUGGAGUAUCAGCCCAUCAUCUCUGCACUUUACGUCCGCACCGAGCCCAUCACCGUCGGCGCGCUCUUCUCUAUGGUGGCAAACUUCGAUC
rnacentral:snoRNA from 1 species